AAAUAAAAGAAAUUGGAGAAUCAUUCAGCGUAGAAAAGACCAACAAACGUUCAAUUUAAUCUUUAUCUUUUCUGACAUUAACUUCGUGUAAAAAUGGCCUUUAACUUUAUGAAUGAAAGGAAAGACCCUUGGUUGUGGUUAAGUAAAGGUUGAGUUUGAAGAAAAACAGUGAAGGAAAAGCAUGUUUAAAAGUUGAGGUUGAGUUUUAAGAUCGGUGGCCAAAGAAAAAGAAGAAGUUCAAAUUUUGGCUAAGUCUUGGUUGAUGUUAGGCGCUUAAGGAGGGAGUUGACAAGGAUUAGGCAGGCAACCUUGCCAUGAAAAUCUCCAAAGGGAAAGUUACCCAACCAACCAUGUUAAGGAAGACCUCUGAGGAUUUGAGGCUGGCCGACAAAACCCUAGGCAAGGAGUGACAAGCAAGAUAGGUAGCCAAAGGUUUUGGUGUUGUGCGUGGCCAAAAGGUGUCAAGGAAAAACCUCUAAAGACAAAGUCGAGCUUGAGGAACAUCUGACACUUAGGCAAGGGCUGUCAAGGUUGGGCGUUGAGGCUAGGCAGCAAGACAGGGUUGAACAAGAUUGGUGUUAAGGCUAUCUGAGAGUUCAGCAAGGGCUGUCAAGGUUGGGCGUUGAGGCUAGGCAGCAACAAGACAGGGUUGAACAAGAUUGGUGUUAAGGCUAUCUGAGAGUUCAGUAUGAGUGCGGCUGUUUCAGUGCGCAUUGCGCAGGGCUAGGUGGCAUGGUGGUGUCAUGCAUUGGGCACAAGGCAAGCACCUGGAGCGUGUGGCUAUGAGACCAAGAAGAAGAAAAUGGAGUUUUUAAGCCAAGGAGUCGGGCUACAAGUUGCCAGUGACUAAAUGCAUUUAAAUGACUUUCUAAACAUGAAUUUCUAGCUAAAAGUUUCUAAAUACGCUUUGAUAUUUCUGAAUGACGUUCUUGACUGAUUUAGUAACAGAUUUGCAGAGCAUGGGUUUGAUAAAG